UCAGACGAUGCGUCAUGCAUAUCAAUAAGCGGAGGAAAAGAAACUAACAAGGAUUCCCUUAGUAACGGCGAGUGAAGCGGGAAGAGCUCAAAUUUGAAAUCUUCAAGGUUUUACCUUGACGAAUUGUAGUUUAAAGAAGUGUUUUCUGCUGAAGUUUUGGUAAAAGUUCUUUGGAAUAGGACAUCACAGAGGGUGAGAAUCCCGUCUAUGAUUGCGAUUUGUAGCUUUGUGAUACACUUUCAAAGAGUCGGGUUGUUUGGGAAUGCAGCCCGAAACGGGAGGUAAAUUUCUUCUAAGGCUAAAUAUUGGCGAGAGACCGAUAGCGAACAAGUACCGUGAGGGAAAGAUGAAAAGAACUUUGAAAAGAGAGUUAAAUAGUACGUGAAAUUGUCAAAAGGGAAGCGUUUAACACCAGUGUUGUUUUCUGAAAAUCAACCUCUGUUAGCUUUAUGCAUGUUUGUUUAGACCUAAUCAGCUAUCUUGCAUGUUCUAUUGUUUGCAGUGGUGCACUUUUCAGUUUACAGGUCAACAUCAGUUUUUUUUACCGUAAAAAAGUUAAAGAAAGGUAGCUCAUGGCUCCGGUCGUGAGUGUUAUAGUCUUUUUCCUAUGCGGUAGGAGAGACUGAGGUCUGCAGUGUAGGCUAUUUGGCUAGAUACUCAGGUGCUAUGUGAUACCAUUUCAUAAACAACUUGUUGAUUAUGUUUUGUCUAUUGCAUACUCGCUUGUACUAUCAUACCUACGCUUAGGAUGUUGACUGAUAUGUAGUCGUA
rnacentral:rRNA from 1 species